CCCAGGAUUGUUAGCUACUGAGUGGCACAUCUUCGGUACUUAUGAUUCGUGGGGGACUCAGGCAGAGGUAAAAGUGUGUUCUAACGUGCUUGAUCUGCUGAGACCAAGGAUGACCAAUGACUCAGAAGGGAAAAUGGGAUUUAAACACCCAAAGAUCAUGGGGAAUUUCAGAGGUCAUGCCCUACCUGGAACCUUCUUUUUUAUUAUUGGUCUUUGGUGGUGUACAAAGAGUAUUCUGAAGUAUAUCUACAAAAAGCAAAAGCGAACCUGCUACCUUGGUUCCAAAACAUUAUUCUAUCGAUUGGAAAUUUUGGAGGGAAUUACAAUAGUUGGCAUGGCUUUAACUGGCAUGGCUGGGGAGCAGUUUAUUCCUGGAGGGCCCCAUCUGAUGUUAUAUGACUAUAAACAGGGUCACUGGAACCAACUCCUGGGCUGGCAUCAUUUCACCAUGUAUUUCUUCUUUGGGCUGUUGGGUGUGGCAGAUAUCUUAUGUUUCACCAUCAGUUCACUUCCUGUGUCCUUAACCAAGUUAAUGUUGUCAAAUGCCUUAUUUGUGGAGG
rnacentral:sRNA from 1 species